CCUACGGGUCGCACCAGUGAGGAAUAUUGGUCAAUGGACGGAAGUCUGAACCAGCCAUGCCGCGUGAAGGAUGAAGGCGUUCUGCGUUGUAAACUUCUUUUAUCUGGGAAGAAACCACAGAUUUCUAUUUGUGUUGACGGUACCAGAGGAAUAAGCACCGGCUAACUCCGUGCCAGCAGCCGCGGUAAUACGGAGGGUGCGAGCGUUAUCCGGAUUUACUGGGUUUAAAGGGUGCGUAGGCGGGCUAAUAAGUCAGAGGUGAAAUCUCCGGGCUCAACCUGGAAACUGCCUUUGAUACUAUUAGGCUUGAAUUAUGUUGAGGUUGGCGGAAUAUAACAUGUAGCGGUGAAAUGCUUAGAUAUGUUAUGGAACACCGAUUGCGAAGGCAGCUGGCUAAACAUACAUUGACGCUGAUGCACGAAAGCGUGGGUAGCGAACAGGAUUAGAUACCCUAGUAGUC
rnacentral:rRNA from 1 species